GAUGAACGCUGGCGGCGUGCCUAACACAUGCAAGUCGAGCGAUUUACUUCGGUAAAGAGCGGCGGACGGGUGAGUAACGCGUGGGUAACCUGCCCUGUACACACGGAUAACAUACCGAAAGGUAUGCUAAUACGAGAUAAUAUACUUUUAUCGCAUGGUAGAAGUAUCAAAGCUCCGGCGGUACAGGAUGGACCCGCGUCUGAUUAGCUAGUUGGUAAGGUAACAGCUUACCAAGGCGACGAUCAGUAGCCGACCUGAGAGGGUGAUCGGCCACAUUGGAACUGAGACACGGUCCAAACUCCUACGGGAGGCAGCAGUGGGGAAUAUUGCACAAUGGGCGAAAGCCUGAUGCAGCAACGCCGCGUGAGCGAUGAAGGCCUUCGGGUCGUAAAGCUCUGUCCUCAAGGAAGAUAAUGACGGUACUU
rnacentral:rRNA from 1 species